rnacentral:rRNA from 1 species
GACGAACGCUGGCGGCGUGCCUAAUACAUGCAAGUCGAACGCUCCUUUCCUCCCGAGUGCUUGCACUCAAUUGGAAAGAGGAGUGGCGGACGGGUGAGUAACACGUGGGUAACCUACCCAUCAGAGGGGGAAACACUUGGAAACAGGUGCUAAUACCGCAUAACAGUUUAUGCCGCAUGGCAUAAGAGUGAAAUGCGCUUUCGGGUGUCGCUGAUGGAUGGACCCGCGGUGGAUUAGCUAGUUGGUGAGGUAACGGCUCACCAAGGCCACGAUGCAUAGCCGACCUGAGAGGGUGAUCGGCCACACUGGGACUGAGACACGGCCCAGACUCCUACGGGAGGCAGCAGUAGGGAAUCUUCGGCAAUGGACGGAAGUCUGACCGAGCAACGCCGCGUGAGUGAAGAAGGUUUUCGGAUCGUAAAACUCUGUUGUUAGAGAAGAACAAGGACGUUAGUAACUGAACGUCCCCUGACGGUAUCUAACCAGAAAGCCACGGCUAACUACGUGCCAGCCGCCGCCGUAA